UAAAUAAAAAAUCUAAUAUAAAUAGAAAACGUUUUUUUUUUUAUUUUAUUAACUAAGGCAUCGAUUAUUUUUUUAAGUGCGAUCUCAGAUGCGUUGGAGAGAACAAAGCAUUGUAAUUAUUCGAGAAAAGGUUUUUUUUCCGUGAAAGGGCGUGAAUGUAAAUCAAAUCCACGAGAAGCGAAGCUUGAUCCGACGAAAGUUACCGAGUCUGAAUGAUUAUCAAUAACGGAGUCACGAUUGUCGAUCGAGUCGAGACGAAUUGGUAAAUACGGAUAAAAAAAACAAAGAAGAGGAUCACGGUGAAGCGAUUUAGAACAGUGAGAAUCGAAGAGCGAGUAGCAGGGGAUGAGGUAAGGGGGUGAUGGAUCAAAACCACGAUGCCGCGAGGGCUUCGAAAUCGUUAACAAUCGCGGCAAAAGCAAAAUCCAUUGAGAUGCGACCACGCGUGUGAAUAUAACUGUCGAUCUGAAUAUUCUGCACGGAGCAGCACCGUCCAGUGCCGUAUUCGCGAAAAACGAGAGGGAAGCCAGCUCGUUUUCCAUUCAGGAAAAAAAAAGGUGCGAUUGAAACGAACGAUUCUGUUUACAACGACUAACAAUUCUUCGCUUGAUGUUUCGAAUAUCGAAUACGUGAUAUCUCCUCUUUUGGUAUAUUUUACAUUGAAUUCUUUUUUCCCCAGCAUUUUUUAGAUCGUGGAAACGCUCGAUUCUUAAAUCGUGUUCAAACAAAUGGAACAAAGACUGAUUCGCGCAAUAUUUUCCUCUUGAGAAAAAAAUAUCCUACGCGAAUAAAAGAAAAGAUGAAAGACGCGAAGUUGUAUUUGCUCAGUCCAUUUCUACGAGAUCAUGAGUUAAACACAGCAAACCAUCGGUGAAUAUGUUCUUGUUUCUCCUCGAAUGUACCAGCAUUUAUUUAUAUUCUUCCUUUCAGUUGCUUUUUAUCGUUUCUAUACAUAUUUCGCUAACAACGUUUUCAAGACAUCGAGGCGCAUUAUCCCGGAGACAAAAAGAAGAAUCAAAAACUCGACAAUUUAUCCGCAAUUCUCUACAUUAAACGUGAAUAUGAAUAUAAAAUAUAAUAUUUUUUCACUAAAGAAUAAAUUGUUGUUUCAAGUACUUUUAGUUUCUUAAACCUGAAUCAUAAUCCGAUCAAAUUUUUAUCUCUUUUCAUAUCGUUUAAGGUCAAUAAUUCUAUAAGUGGAAGAAUAUUGUGUUGAUUCGCUAAAUAGAAACAAUCAGAAGGUUUGUACGAGGAUACGUAAAAAAAUUCGGUAAAAUUUCGUGCCCGGAUAUACAGCCUAUUGUGUUUCUUCUUUCGCGCAGAGUAGGAGACACUCUCGAAGAAUGAUGGUUAUGGGAAAAAGAGUGCUUGAACACGGACGUUGGUCAGGCUCCCGCGGUUCCAAUUACGAUUGAAAGGCGGCCCUGUUUGUUCGCUUCCUAUAACUGCGGACUCUUCAGUACCUUGUACAAGGCACUCUUACCCCAUGGCCACUUUCGAGUUUCGACGCGUGUGUUUCCAUGACGAACACCGCGAUUCCACCAAGCACAAAAAUUCUCCUUUUUCCAGUCUACGGCAACGAUUAUUAUUUCACCGAGAGUUUUUUUCUAUUCUCCUUCCGUUUUGCAUUAAGAUAUUUUCAAAUAACCCGCGUUUUGUUAUUGUCGUUUUCUACCUAACCUUCUUAUACAAAAAUCUUAGUUAAAUAAAUAUGGCCGAACGAUAAGACGCGUGCUCAAAGACUCGUGCGAUAAAACUUUAAUUUUGUAACAAGUGAAGUGUUUAUCUAAUUAAUAAAUAAAACUAUUUCAAACAAUACAAUUAGUGUUAUAUAAAAAGUUCUUAAGUUGUUUUUUUUUGUUAAUUCUUUCUAUCAAUAUAAUAAAGAAUGAAAUGAGUGAUCCUUUGUGAUGAAUGUAAACAACUUUUGUUUUUAAAAGCUAAAAAUCAGUUAAGUUUAUGCAUAAAUUCUUCCAAGGAUAGAUUGUGUUUAGACGAUUUAUUUGAUUUAUCCUUCUAUUUUGUCAAAAUCGAGAAUGAUUGCUCGAUAGUAUCACGGCCCUGUUUUCGAGCUAAGUGCCGUGUAAUCAAAGGAUGAUUGCUGACACAAAGACGGCUGAUUGGCUCGUUUACGUUACGGUAAUGCUCGAAGCUCGGUGGAACGUCUCUCGAUACCGAGCUCGUUUCUCGUGGUAACGAGAUUUCACCGAAACGUCCAUGUUCUCAUUAAAGAAUUAAACGAGAAUGUUCUCGUGAGACAGUAGUGAAUAUGAAUAAUAAUUCAUCAUUAAGGAAACCAUCGUAUCAAGAGAAGAAAAAUCUCCUCUUUAAAUUAAUAAUCCGUGAAUUCUUGUAAAGGUCCUCAAAUCUUUCGUUAAUUUCGCGUAUCAAAAGAUAGAGAAAUAGCUUGAAUCGUCUAAUAAUCGUUCUUUCUCCGUGUUCGAAUUAUAUUCAAACGUAUUAAGUGUCUCGAAACAAUGAAUUUAAAAUGAGAGAGAAAGA